GACGAACGCUGGCGGCGUGCUUAACACAUGCAAGUCGAACGGAAAGGCCCUGCUUUUGUGGGGUGCUCGGGUGGCGAACGGGUGAGUAACACGUGAGUAACCUGCCCUUGACUUUGGGAUAACUUCAGGAAACUGGGGCUAAUACCGGAUAGGAGCUCCUGCUGCAUGGUGGGGGUUGGAAAGUUUCGGCGGUUGGGGAUGGACUCGCGGCUUAUCAGCUUGUUGGUGGGGUAGUGGCUGACCAAGGCUUUGACGGGUAGCCGGCCUGAGAGGGUGACCGGCCACAUUGGGACUGAGAUACGGCCCAGACUGCUACGGGGGGCAGCAGUGGGGAAUAUUGCACAAUGGGCGGAAGCCUGAUGCAGCAACGCCGCGUUCGGGAUGACGGCCUUCGAGUUGUAAAACGCUUUCGCCUGUGACGAAGCGUGAGUGACGGUAAUGGGUAAAGAAGCACCGGCUAACUACGUG
rnacentral:rRNA from 1 species